ACCAGACUCCUACGGGAGGCAGCAGUGGGGAAUAUUGGACAAUGGGGGAAACCCUGAUCCAGCGACGCCGCGUGAGUGAAGAAGUAUUUCGGUAUGUAAAGCUCUAUCAGCAGGGAAGAAGAAAUGACGGUACCUGACUAAGAAGCCCCGGCUAACUACGUGCCAGCAGCCGCGGUAAUACGUAGGGGGCAAGCGUUAUCCGGAUUUACUGGGUGUAAAGGGAGCGUAGACGGUAAGGCAAGUCAGAUGUGAAAGCCCGGGGCUCAACCGCGGGACUGCAUUUGAAACUGUGUAGCUAGAGUGCAGGAGAGGUAAGUGGAAUUCCUAGCGUAGCGGUGAAAUGCGUAGAUAUUAGGAGGAACACCGGUGGCGAAGGCGGCUUACUGGACUGUAACUGGCGUUGAGGCUCGAAAGCGUGGGGAGCAAACAGGA
rnacentral:rRNA from 1 species